ACACAUGCAAGUCGAGGGGCAGCAUGGUCUUUGCUUGCUAAGGCCGAUGGCGACCGGCGCACGGGUGAGUAACACGUAUCCAACCUGCCGUCUACUCUUGGACAGCCUUCUGAAAGGAAGAUUAAUACAAGAUGGCAUCAUGAGUCCGCAUGUUCACAUGAUUAAAGGUAUUCCGGUAGACGAUGGGGAUGCGUUCCAUUAGAUAGUAGGCGGGGUAACGGCCCACCUAGUCUUCGAUGGAUAGGGGUUCUGAGAGGAAGGUCCCCCACAUUGGAACUGAGACACGGUCCAAACUCCUACGGGAGGCAGCAGUGAGGAAUAUUGGUCAAUGGACGAGAGUCUGAACCAGCCAAGUAGCGUGAAGGAUGACUGCCCUAUGGGUUGUAAACUUCUUUUAUACGGGAAUAAAGUGAGCCACGUGUGGCUUUUUGUAUGUACCGUAUGAGUAAGGAUCGGCUAACUCCGUGCCAGCAGCCGCGGUAAUACGGAGGAUCCGAGCGUUAUCCGGAUUUAUUGGGUUUAAAGGGAGCGUAGGCGGGUUGUUAAGUCAGUUGUGAAAGUUUGCGGCUCAACCGUAAAAUUGCAGUUGAUACUGGCGACCUUGAGUGCAACAGAGGUAGGCGGAAUUCGUGGUGUAGCGGUGAAAUGCUUAGAUAUCACGAAGAACUCCGAUUGCGAAGGCAGCUUACUGGAUUGUAACUGACGCUGAUGCUCGAAAGUGUGGGUAUCAAACAGGAUUAGAUACCCUGGUAGUCCACACAGUAAACGAUGAAUACUCGCUGUUGGCGAUAUACGGUCAGCGGCCAAGCGAAAGCAUUAAGUAUUCCACCUGGGGAGUACGCCGGCAACGGUGAAACUCAAAGGAAUUGACGGGGGCCCGCACAAGCGGAGGAACAUGUGGUUUAAUUCGAUGAUACGCGAGGAACCUUACCCGGGCUUAAAUUGCAGAUGAAUUACGGUGAAAGCCGUAAGCCGCAAGGCAUCUGUGAAGGUGCUGCAUGGUUGUCGUCAGCUCGUGCCGUGAGGUGUCGGCUUAAGUGCCAUAACGAGCGCAACCCUUGUUGUCAGUUACUAACAGGUUCCGCUGAGGACUCUGACAAGACUGCCAUCGUAAGAUGUGAGGAAGGUGGGGAUGACGUCAAAUCAGCACGGCCCUUACGUCCGGGGCUACACACGUGUUACAAUGGGGGGUACAGAGGGCCGCUACCACGCGAGUGGAUGCCAAUCCCCAAAACCUCUCUCAGUUCGGACUGGAGUCUGCAACCCGACUCCACGAAGCUGGAUUCGCUAGUAAUCGCGCAUCAGCCACAGCGCGGUGAAUACGUUCCCGGGCCUUGUACACACCGCCCGUCAAGCCAUGGGAGCCGGGGGUACCUGAAGUGCGUAACCGCGAGGAGCGCCCUAGGGUAAAACUGGUGACUGGGGCUAA
rnacentral:rRNA from 1 species